rnacentral:rRNA from 1 species
UAACGAAGGGGGCUAGCGUUGCUCGGAAUUACUGGGCGUAAAGCGUGCGCAGGCGGUUAUGUAAGACAGAUGUGAAAUCCCCGGGCUACCAACCUGGGAACUGCAUUGUGACUGCAUAGCUAGAGUACGGUAGAGGGGGAUGGAAUUCCGCGUGUAGCAGUGAAAUGCGUAGAUAUGCGGAGGAACACCGAUGCGAAGGCAAUCCCCUGGACC